UUAUCGGAGAGUUUGAUCCUGGCUCAGGACGAACGCUGGCGGCGUGCCUAAUACAUGCAAGUCGAGCGGACAGAUGGGAGCUUGCUCCCUGAUGUUAGCGGCGGACGGGUGAGUAACACGUGGGUAACCUGCCUGUAAGACUGGGAUAA
rnacentral:rRNA from 1 species